ensembl:lncRNA
AAACGUGAACAUAUAAAGACAUGAAGAACACAUCAUGGGCGUGUUUGUGUCACUGUACAUCAUUUCCUCAGAAUAGCCUGCUCAAUUUCCACAUUUCCUCUUUUUGUGACAAACUACAGUAUAUAAGAUCACACAAGCGUCAGCCUAACAAACUUGCUUAGAGCACUGAUCCAGAGUCAGAUUUGGCGCCUUUCAGCUCGUGAAGAUGUGUCCGACUCUCUCCAUCAGCCGCUGGAUUUUCCUGCUCUGUCUGCCUGUCGUGAUGCUCGUCGCUGUGCAGAAAGCCCAUUCCUCACCUCAAAGUGUGGGUUUGAAGUGCUGCCACAAGGUCAUCACCCAGGAAGUAAAGACAAUCCAAAGCUGCUUUGAACAAAAACCACGCUAUGGCUGCAGGCAACACGCCUUCCUGAUCAUCAACAAGCGGCAUAAAAAUAACAUAUGGUGCAUUGAUCCAAAUUCUGAGUGGCUCAAAGACAAAAUAGAGAAGGGAGAACUGAAAUGUCCUCCGGUGAUAAGUGUAUGAAGCAACAAUGAGACCACAAAAACAUCAGAGCAAAGAAGCUGAUGACAACAUUUUUUACUUAUUUAAUUGUAAUUCCUUUUACAGAUCUAUUUAUUUAUUAUGUAAGUUAUUAUUUAAGCCUUUAAGCCAUCAACAUCAUUACUAAUUUGUUGUAGAUGACAGUAAUAAAAGUUGUUCUUUGUGACUCUAAAUAAAUAUGGAUCAUGUUUAAAGUAAAAUCUAAUGCAGUUUGGUGAUUUCUUUCACGUUUCGGGUUCUGGGCGGCAGUGCAGAGAAAUUUCUGUUCUAAGUUCUAACCCAAAGACUGUUACCAGGCAGAACAGCUGAAUAAAAUACAGCCUAUUGCGUGAGAUUAUAACAACAAAGUUUAGCUUCCUUUUCAUCCUGUUGUAUUGACUUAGCAAGAGAAUUUAAAACUUUGCAUUCAAAUAUAAGAUAUUUGACUGCCUCCCUGCUUU